rnacentral:lncRNA from 1 species
GAGCUUGAUAAUCGAAUGUGGACAAUGUGGAACAUCCAGUGGACAGAGAAAAGGGGCGUGGACUCAAGCGACCAGUCACCGUCCUCCAUUCCUUUGGUUUCUUCACCUGACAAGUGCAUCAGAGACUAUAUCAGAGAGUUUGGAGGGGUGUGGAGGUUCAGUUCCUGGACAAACGGAGGCUGCAAGCUUUCCUCUGAUGUGCCCCCUGGUCCAAGGGCCCUGCCUCUGGGAGACAGGACUCUGGGCUGUGGCCACUCCUGGUGUCUGCUUUGGACUCGCCACAAGCCCAGCUGCUAUUGACCACUUGGAUUUCUUUUAAGAGGUACCUCGCUUAAAACAGCUAAACCCAUGUCAACUAAAAGUCCAGUCCUGCACUCUGAGAACUCAUGAUGUGAUGCAAAUACACAGAUGCUCAAGUCAGAAGAGGUUUCUGUCUCAUUGUCACCUUGGAAAGAUGGUUCAUCAUCUGAGCCUUGUGGCCCAGUGGACAGUGAAGGUGAUGAUAAUACUUACCUUGCUUCUUAUGAAAAUGAGCAGGACCAUCACACAUAAAUUUCUUUGAGAAUAAGUUAUACAACUGUUACACAUGACAAUGAAUAUUCAUAAGCAGGAAAGGCAAGGGAAAUUCACAUUUAUAAGCUAAUGAUUAUGAAGCGCUUCCUGAGUAAUUUGAACAAGAGUUACAUGGAUCAUUCCAUUAAUUUAAACAAGAGCCUUUAGGGGGCUGGUACCUUUAUCAUCUCCAGUUUAGAUGAAGAGACUGACACCCAGAGAUUUUAAGUAACAGACAGCAAAUGGCAGGGUCAGAAUAUCAAGUCUUGGUAAUUUAGUGCCAGCAGUGAGCAUUUUAACACCAGAUGCCUCAACACCACCUGAAGGUCUGGAUACAACAGACAUUGCUGAGUCCCACCCCAAAGGUUCUGAUUCAGUAGCUUUGAGAAUUUGGUUUCUAAGACGUUCCCAGGUGACGCUGAUGCUGCUGGACUGGGGGCCACACGGUGAGAAUUCUGUCACACAGAGCUCUCCUGGUACUUCCUGCCCCAUCAGUGUCUAAAUCAGGACCUCUGAGGCCUGUUUGCACAGGUGAGCUGGACAUCUGUGUGCACAAGGUAUUUGAUUUAUGUCAUGAAGGCAUUUGCUACACUAAUGGGCAAAAUAGAUAAGGAUGCUGAGGAGACUGACUUCAGAAGCAAAGUGAGAGAAGUUGCUCAGUGCUUGAUGGCUCUGCUGCUACCCAAAUCGUUGUAGCUCUGGCUACUCAGACCCUUCCCCAGAGCUGGCCAGGGGAGGGGAGGCCAUUGUCUGAGGAAGACACAGAGAACAGACUCACAGCUGGCUUCCUUGGCUUCCCUCAGUUUUGCCCUUUUAGCAGGUCACACUCUCAGAUUUCAGAAAUCUAUGAAUGGAGAGAUAAGACAUAACUUGCAAGAAGAGAAAGCAUAGGCCAAGAAGAUGUAAACUUAAUAGACGGGAAACAGUGGAAACAGUGUCAGACUUUAUUUUUGGGGGGGCUCCAAAA